ensembl:lncRNA
GAUUGGCCUGGACCCAGACCGCCGGCUAACCGGUGUCCAGCGGGCUCGGCUCGGGGUCAGCACGGCCGUGCCCUGACCCACGCGCGGUGUGGCUUCCUCGCGGUGGCGGGUGGUGUGAUGACCGAGGAGGCGGCAGAACCGCGAGGAAGGUGGAUCCGCAGUGACCGCGCCCCUGCCCGCCUGUUCCCCACGCCUCCCUCCAGCAUUCCCGGCGCCGGCCGAAGCCGGGGCUCGGAUCCCGGGCGCCCACGAGAAGAAGACGUGGGAGCCAGGCGCGGGGGGCAAGAAAGUGGGCCUCCCCGUAGGGACGUCUGAAAGCAGUGAUGGUACCGGGGCCUCGGGCGACAAACCUGAGGCCAGCGCCGAUCGGUGCAAACACUGAACAGAGGGGCGAGCUCUCCACGUUGCGUUCUCGGGCGGCGCAGGAGCCGUCGUGCACGCGGGCCGUGGCGACCGAUGAACAGAAUCACGAGGUAUCUGAAGUAGGAGCUGGACGAUAAUUAGAAGUCAGCAUUGACGUGGCCUAUCACGUCUUCGCCACAGUACAUCCUGUGGACAUCGCAGGACGUCACUUCACUGCAUCUUCUCUUUAGGGACGCGUCUCAGAAGACGAGGAAGCCGCUUCUCUCGUCGCCUCUCGCCCGUUUCGUGGGCAGGCUCCGUGUGGCUUGUCCCAGGCUUCACUGCAGUGUCGCCGUCCCUUGCUUUCUGGAUCCCAGUUCCUGAUUUAUUUCUUUUAUUUGGAUGGUGUAUAUUCUCCAGUAGCUUCCUGAGGAAGGGUGCAUGGAAAGCAAAUGUCACAAGUGUUUUCUCUGCCGUCACAGAUAACUUGGUAUAUCGUUACAGAUUCCAGAAACGACCCAUUUCUGGGCCAGCAGAGCAGGAGGUGGAAAGAUGUCAGAGCUUCUCUGCUGGGUGACAGCUCACAGAAAGGGGAGAGCCCCGGGCUCUGAGAGGUGCUGGGGCGGUCGGUGGUGUUUUUUCUGCCUACUUGCGGAAGAUUAAGAAAGUGAGCCCGUGUGCAGAGCUCUUCAGCCAGAACUCAAGUGCCCUGAGCACACCCUGCUGCAGUCUGGGAACCAGACGUGACUUCAGGCUUCGGAGAUAAAAAUAACUUCUCUUUGCCCCCCACCUGGUAAAAUUAGAAACUUAAUUAAAA